rnacentral:rRNA from 1 species
AACAAACGCUGGCGGCGUGCCUAAUACAUGCAAGUCGAACGGGGAAAGUAGCAAUACGAGUACUAGAGGCGCACGGGUGAGGAAUACAUGGGUAAUCUGCCCUCGAGUUUGGGAUAACCAGUCGAAAGAUUGGCUAAUACCGGAUAUGACCACAGGAUCUGCGGAUCGAGGGGUAAAAGGUUUUUCGCUCGAGGAUGAGCCCAUGUGGGAUUAGCUAGUUGGUGAGGUAACGGCUCACCAAGGCGACGAUCCCUAACUGGUCUUAGAGGAUGAUCAGUCACACUGGAACUGAGACACGGUCCAGACUCCUACGGGAGGCAGCAGUAGGGAAUAUUGCACAAUGGAGGAAACUCUGAUGCGGCGACGCCGCGUGAGUGAUGAAGGCCUUCGGGUCGUAAAGCUCUGUCGUAUGGGACUAACACAAUGAAGGUACCAUGCAAGAAAGGAUCGGCUAACUUCGUGCCAGCCGCCGCGGUAA